UUCCUACGGGGGGCUGCAAUCAGGAAUCUUGCGCAAUGGGGGGAACCCUGACGCAGCGACGUCGCGUGAAGGACGACGGCCUUCGGGUUGUAAACUUCUUUUAUCUGGAACGAGAAUGGACGGUACCAGAAGAAUAAGCCCCGGCUAACUCCGUGCCAGCAGCCGCGGUAAUACGGAGGGGGCGAGCGUUGUCCGAAUUUAUUGGGCGUAAAGCGCGUGUAGGCGGGUGAUCAAGCCUGUGGUGAAAGGUUGGGGCUCAACCCCAAGAGUGCCGUGGGGACUGGUCGCCUGGAGGCAGGCAGAGGAGAGCGGAAUUCCUGGUGUAGCGGUGGAAUGCGUAGAGAUCAGGAAGAACACCCGUGGCGAAGGCGGCUCUCUGGGCCUGUCCUGACGCUGAGACGCGAAAGCGUGGGGAGCGAACAGGAUUAGAUACCCCUGUAGUCC
rnacentral:rRNA from 1 species